AAAGAAUUUACUUUGAUUCCAAGGUUCAAGCUUAUAGGUGUCAUAUUAGAUAUCCUAUAUUAAAAUUGGCUAAUUUGGACUCAGGAAAUGCUUAAUGCUUAAAAUGACACUUAAGACCAUAUGUCUAGUUCUUGGAGCACAUAGCCCCCACGUGAGCUGUUUCUCCUAAAUCAGUCUGUUCUUUCUCUUUCUCUUUCUCUGAACUUAUCUGUUAUAUGUACAUGAUGUUCAUCCAUAUGUCUUAUCUGUACUCCUUUCACUCCAUUCCUGCUUCUGUCCUAUGAGUAUUUGCACGUAAGCACUUACUUUUUAAUGUAUAAAAACACAUACUGAAAAAUAAAUGACAGAGGCUUAUUUUGAUUACCAACAGGUCUCUGAUGUCUAAUUCACGCUUCUCCAAGUGCACUUGAAAUAACAAUUUGGGCUCCCCUGAAUAUCACAAAGAUCACAUUGGAUCUAUAUAAAUUGGUGCUGAAACCCGGGAUCAGACAAAUCCAGUCCAUCCGGACCCAGAUGGAGUGGCUCGCAGCUCGAGAGAUGGUUAAUCAGCUGCAG